UUCAGAAACUCCAUCGAAACAACAUUUAUUACUGUACAGCAAAGUAACAGUCCCCAACAUUUAAAAGUGACUUUACCGCCUCUGCCUCACUUUAAUCUUCAAAUUGCUUUCGAGCCAACGCACACACAAAAAAAGAAAGCUUGCGGCUCACACUGCCCGUAGCACCCGUAGCGGGGCUACUUCGGUGGAAACACGUCCCGUCGCCGCGGGCUUGGCAGCUGCGGGAAGAGACAGCAGGCUGUGGGACGGCACGGCCCCGCACAGUGAGCUGCCGGCAUCUGUGCGCGGCCGCUUUGCGGGGUGGUAAGCAGUGGUGUACCCGCAUUUUAGGACUGAAGGGCGUCCGGCGGGGGGAGCGGGACGUACGGAACUCCCACUCCUAGCUCCCAGAAUAUCCUUAACAAGGCCAGAAGAAUGAAUGUCAUGGAUAUUCUUUAGAAGUGUUUUUGAAUACUCUACAGACAGAGGGCCUGGUGGAACACAAUUGCCUGGAGACAACUGAUUAUGUUUAUUCCAGUAGACCAGAUUUAAGGAUGCUCCUUUAUCUCAUCCUGAUUUGGAAUUAUUUAUGGAUGGUGGUAGCUAUGUAGAACAUGAAGGAUGCUUCACUGGAUAUAAGGAAAAACUUUGACAGCUUCGAGAAGCUUCCCAGUGUGGAAUUGACCGCUAACUUUGGAAAAUCCGGUUCAUGACUUCCAACCAGGAGAUUAUGAGAAGACAUGGACUUCUGAGCCUCUCCAGGAACAUUGGAAAGGAGUUUUUCAAGUACUGUUAACUCCUGUUAACUGAUUGUUAACUACUUUUACUGCCAUUAAGAUAGUUGAAUCAGAAGCGUGGAUACAUUAUACUAGAGUGAAGAAAGCCUCACCAGCAUGGAAGAUUGUUAAUAGGGAUCCUAAGACUUCAAAACUGACUUUUAGAUAUGCUGUUUAAUCUUAUGUAUCACCUUGAAGUCUGGGGAGAAUGCAUAUUGAUUUGGAAAUUAAUGUUAGUGGGAGCCUGGGUUGAGGCAAAAACUGAACAAUUAGAAGUAUCAAUAAGAUGGGGAGAUCCACUGAAGCUGACAUGUGAUUUUACACAGAUUCAAGACUUUAAUCCUGAUAAACUGCAAGUGAACUAGGAAAGGGAUAGAAAAUAAUUCCACCUAAAAUGAGAGUCAGAGGUAAAUGACACAGAAGUACUAUUCAAGGUAAUACAAGUUGUAUUACCUUGAAGAAUGCAGGUCAAUGCUGUUGUUUGUUGAGUAGAGAUGACUUUUGUUGUCUUCCACUUGAAAAUAAGGAACAAAAACACCCAAAAUAUGACUUAGUGUUACAAAGUCCAACACAAGAAUUGAUUUGUAAAGAAUUCCGAACUUCAAAGCAAGGAUGCUGUUUAAAAUUAGAAAAAGAGCAAGGAAAUUUUAUUUGCCAAUUCUGUCAUUCAGACAAAGUUGUCCCAACACGGACCAAGAAAGAAAGGAUUAAAAGACAAACAGAGGCACAACAAUAAAUACACCUCACAGGAAAAACCUAAGAAGAAAAUUUGAUGUUAGGAUUAAUCAAAGACUUUGGCAAUUUGCAGAACAUGUCAAAAAUUGCCUACCAAUACUAGCAGCAGUAGGUGAGUCCAUUCCAUGGGGAAUCUUAACCAUGACUUCUACUAUUCUAGAACAUGAAAAUAAAACCACGUGUUGUGAACAGAAACCUGUAAUUGGAUGAAAGAAACAAACAGAGAAUAUUAGGAAACAUGGAAGUCUCCAGGGUGUAGAGCUGAUUGUGAGAAACUAUCAAAUUCUGUUUUUGCCAAAAUUGGAAGAUCUUGGAACAUAGGAUGAUGUUCUUAUGAUGAACAAAUAAAGAGAAAUGUAAGCCAAAUGAUCAUGGAAUGGAAAUGUGAUAAAACUAAUCAAACACAGGGGAAGGAGAAAAAUUUGGACUCCAUUUGGUCAAUGACAAUCUUAUCUCAAAUUCAGUACAUGUCUAAGGCUUCUUGGUGUUUUACUUGGGAUGGAUUAGUUUUUAAAACGCGAUCAGUUGUGGGUGAUAAGGAAACCUCAUACUGAGAAGAGGAAAAUCUAAUGUCACGGUGGAAAUGUGAAAAGAUAUAUAAUUGUAGUACUGUCGAUAUGAUAAUUCAGGCUAUUCCCCCUUUAUCUGCUGCUUUAAAGUAGGAGUGUCUCUGCAGAGGUCUUAAAAAUAGCCUCCAACUGACUGAGACAUAUACACCCAAAAGAGGAACCAUGUGUAGUUGCAGAAGAUGUACAGUUAGGAGCCCAGGACACUUAGUUUGGGCAAGGAGUGAUGGGACUUGGACAAUUCAUUUACUGUUAGAUGGUAAAGUAAAGCAAAGAACAUGAGGCAUGCCAACGUUAUGUCCAAUCUGGAAGAAAGAUCCUUUUAAAGGAACAUUAGAAAAUUUGAAAUUGGAAUAGGUAAAAAGGUCAGAAACAGAUGAAGAAUGGCAUGAAUGUUUGACGAGAGUGAAAAUUGGCUGGACCUUGGAGUCUUCCUUGACCCCUUUAGCAACAUAUAGGAUUAGAGAAUGGAUAUGUCGACUUACAGGACAGCUAGAAAGGCUGGCAAAUGUGACCAGGGAGGGCUUCAAGGAUGUAAAUUAGCAGUUACAAGCAACUUCAAACAUGCCUUUACAAAAUAAAAUGGCUUUAGAUAAGAUCUUACUCAAAGAACAUGGGGUUUGUAGAUAUUUGAAAGAUAGAAUUGAUCAUUGUUACAUACACAUUACAAAUGUGACCCAAGAUGUAGAACAUGGCUUGGACUUGUUAGAAAAUUUAGAAAAAAAUACAAGCUUCGAUAAGACAUGCAAGAAAGUUGGAUAGAUAAAAUCUUUAGUGGACUGGGAUGGAAUCUGAGUUCAUGGGCAAAAUCACUGAUUAAUACUGCAUUAAUCUUGUUAAUAAUAUUUUUAACAAUUAUUUUGAUUUACUAUUGUUUAAAGAAACAAAUAAACAGUAAGACUGCACUUAAUUGGAUGAUUAUCCAAGCAGUGGGCAGACAACAAGAUGAAAAGGAAUCAAUUCCAAGACUCCCACAAACAUAUAAUGAAUGAAAUAUAUCUAUAUUUCAUAAGCAAAUUUUAGGAUUAUAACGAAAGUAUUGAAAUGAUUUUCAAAACUUUCAAAGGGGGGAAAUGUUGCAAUUAAUCUGAUGAAAUAAUUGAGAUUUGAUCAUAUAGAAGAAAUAGUUGUGAUUAAAAGGAAGAAAAUUGUGAAGCAUGAUGUAUAGGAUUGUUAGGAGUGUUGUGUUUGAAGUAUGCAACUAUGGAAACCUCACCAAGAAGAUAUUGGACCAUUUGUGCUGCUUGGAAACCCCCUUACCCUUCCUAUCUUGAUUUGAGUAUCGAAGAUUCCAAUCAGUAGAGCUAAGUAAAAUUGACCAAUGGUUGUUUUAGAAUAAAGUUAUAAAACUAACAAAACAAAGCAUUGUAGAGGAUAAAUACAAGACUGGGCUUAUGUAACAGAAAAGUGUAAAAAUGAAUGGAUUUUUUCAGUAAGAGAACACUUUUGGAGGAAUGAUCCCCUGUGUUCUCAGCAUGCUGAAUAAAGAAAUGUCUGCUUAUUCGCAUCA